rnacentral:rRNA from 1 species
CCUACGGGUGGCAGCAGUGAGGAAUAUUGGUCAAUGGACGAGAGUCUGAACCAGCCAAGUAGCGUGAAGGAUGACUGCCCUCUGGGUUGUAAACUUCUUUUAUAUGGGAGUAAAAUGUUCCACGUGUGUGAUUUUGUAUGUACCAUAUGAGUAAGGAUCGGCUAACUCCGUGCCAGCAGCCGCGGUAAUACGGAGGGUCCGAGCGUUAUCCGGAUUUAUUGGGUUUAAGGGGAGCGUAGGUGGAUUGUUAAGUCAGUUGUGAAAGUUUGCGGCUCAACCGUAAAAUUGCAGUUGAAACUGGCAGUCUGGAGUACAGUAGAGGUGGGCGGAAUUCGUGGUGUAGCGGUGAAAUGCUUAGAUAUCACGAAGAACUCCGAUUGCGAAGGCAGCUCACUGGACUGCAACUGACACUGAGGCUCGAAAGUGUGGGUAUCAAACAGGAUUAGAUACCCUGGUAGUC